rnacentral:rRNA from 1 species
UGGGGAAUUUUGGACAAUGGGGGAAACCCUGAUCCAGCCAUCCCGCGUGUGCGAUGAAGGCCUUCGGGUUGUAAAGCACUUUUGGCAGGAAAGAAACGUCAUGGGUUAAUACCCCGUGAAACUGACGGUACCUGCAGAAUAAGCACCGGCUAACUACGUGCCAGCAGCCGCGGUAAUACGUAGGGUGCAAGCGUUAAUCGGAAUUACUGGGCGUAAAGCGUGCGCAGGCGGUUCGGAAAGAAAGAUGUGAAAUCCCAGAGCUCAACUUUGGAACUGCAUUUUUAACUACGGGGCUAGAGUGUGUCAGAGGGAGGUGGAAUUCCGCGUGUAGCAGUGAAAUGCGUAGAUAUGCGGAGGAACACCGAUGGCGAAGGCAGCCUCCUGGGAUAACACUGACGCUCAUGCACGAAAGCGUGGGGAGCAAACAGG